GACGAACGCUGGCGGCGUGCUUAACACAUGCAAGUCGAACGGAAAGGCCUGCUUUCCCUUGUGGAUUGCGGGUACUCGAGUGGCGAACGGGUGAGUAACACGUGAGUGAUCUGCCCCCAACUUGGGUAUAAGCCUGGGAAACUGGGUCUAAUUCCCGAUAGGACUGCAGGGUGGUGCCUGUGGUGGAAAACGAUUUUCUAGUGGUUGGGGAUGAGCUCGCGGCCUAUCAGCUUGUUGGUGGGGUAAUGGCCUACCAAGGCGGCGACGGGUAGCCGGCCUGAGAGGGUGGACGGCCACAUUGGGACUGAGAUACGGCCCAGACUCCUACGGGAGGCAGCAGUGGGGAAUAUUGCACAAUGGGCGGAAGCCUGAUGCAGCGACGCCGCGUGGGGGGUGACGGCCUUCGGGUUGUAAACUCCUUUCGACCGCGAGGAAGCCACCUGGUUGGAAGGGUGGUGACGGUAGUGGUAGAAGAAGCACCGGCUAACUACGUG
rnacentral:rRNA from 1 species